UCACAGCAUGUUUUUUAUUCUUGCUAAUUCCUGCAACCUAACCCAAAUUAGUUCCACAGAAAAAUUUAGGUAACCUAAUGUCUCAGUAGAUGCCAGUGUCAACAAGUUCUCAGUGCUGAGCCCCUGUGCAUCUGUUGGGUUCACAAAUGAUGAUCCUUGGCUGCCUUUCCCAUGACAUUUGGCCCACCAGAUGACUAACAUGGCUAACUUAGGACACCCUGGAACAGAGAGAAUCCAUCUCAAACUUACUUGGCAAUGAACACAUAGUGGAACAGGCUCAAUGAGAGUGAUGAGGAAAGAGAUGUCCUCAAAUAGCCCAGACUUACAUUCUGGAAGGUGAGGGACUUACCUGCAAUUUUCUGCUCCAGAGCAGAGAAGGGUAACCCAGCCAAGUUCUGCUACAGCUCGUGUCACUGUUGACAUCUCCAGCACCAAUUAGUGUGAGGUUAGAGCAGAAGAAGGAAGAAGAACUUGCACUUCUGUGUUUGAUAGUGUGUCAAGACACCAAAAAGCAUCUUUAUGGACUGCUCUCUACUCUGUGGGUUCCUUAUACCAGUGUGUCUGAUGUCAGAGUGCUGUCAGUGUUUUGAGUGCUGCAGGGAGAUCUGAAUAAAGCUCCUACAAGAAGGUACUUUCUCAGGUGUUUGGUUUGCUUGCAGAGCAGCUGGAACUGCACUACAUUUUCCAGCAUGGAUGAGAAACUGGUGUGGGUGUGCACAGCAAAACAGCCUUUGGAAUUUCUGAACAAACAUCUCACACAUGUGGGCACUUUCAAUUUGCAGGGAACUUAACGUUUUGGCUUCCUGAAGAGCGAACUUUUCCUUUAUAAUCAGCUUUUCAAAACGUGACAAGUCAUUCCCUGUGCAAGUUUCUGUUUCAGUUUUCACUUCCGUCGCGUUCCACUGAGGGAAGCUGUAAGGAGUUCUUUCAAAAAUGGAUGGUCAGGAACGAAAUGAGGCCAAACGAGACAAACAUUGUAUCUGAGAACCGUUUAUUGGUAAUGAAAAAAUAAAAAUAAAAAGGAGUUACCCUACUAAAGACGGCUGGAAAGGACAGAAGAGAAGGAAAGAGAACGGAAAAGGAAUAGGGGGCGGGG